rnacentral:ncRNA from 1 species
AUGAGCCGUAUGAAUCGAGAGAUUCACGUACGGUUCUGUGAGAGCCUCUGGGUGAAACUCCCGGGGGCUACUCGAC